UGUACUGUGUGAAUGAGUCUGUAGAGAUACUGUUCCAUGCAUGGCUGUAGACUCGCCUGUGUGAUAAACUUAUAUAUAACUAUAAAUGAUUUGGAUUAUAGUAGAAUGAACAGGAUAUAGGAACAAUUUGUGGUACUUUUUACAGUUUUAGACUAUGGAUAAACAUUAUGAAAUAAUUCUUUAUUCUCUAUCAGAAGAACUUAUGAAAUCUGGCCUAUCAGCAAAUGCUGAUCAUCUUUAAAGUUUCAUCGACAUAAUAUGCAUGAUUUAUUUUCAUAAAAUGGCUGAUCAGCUGUCUGGAAUCACUGUUGUUAUUUUUAUAGCUUUUGGUGUUUUGACUUGCAUAUUGCUGUUUUUGUUCGGAAAAAGACAAAUAGCAAGAUUUUCUCUGAAAACUAGGAAAGGUCCUCACAUGCCAGUUGGAUACAGUGCCUCAAAGUUUGUAUAUAUGGAGAUUGAGAGAAGACUAGAACGAGUUAAAAAUAUCACACAUGAACCAGUUCUAUUAAAAGAGGAAGAGGACUUAUUGUUUAAAACUUUUAAACCAAUUUUUCCAAUGCAUCUGUACAGAAUGAAAGCUGUUGAUACCUUGAUAAAGUUGGAAAAUUGUUUAAAAGAUGCAGAUCCCACAUAUCAGCGAUUUCAAGGUCAGGAUCUUUGUAUGUCUUUGUUGCAAGCUGUACAUAAAGGAGUUCUGAAAAAUUGUGAUCCCAAGCCAAUUCGUCAGUUUGUUGACUUGUAUCAAAGUGCUAGGCAUGCUCCAAAGAUAUUUGAUCAAGAGCAAUUUAGUGAGUACAUGAAGCUUCUUUCAUUUAUUUUGAACAGAUUUUCGUUUUAUCCUUUGUGAUCUUAUAAAAACCAAACAGACUUGGAUCAGACUGGUUUAUUAAAAGACAAACUUCUGAGCCAGGAACAAGGCUUGAACUAUCACCUAAGGUGAAUUAGCUCAAAGAUAUCUUAAGGUCUUCUACCUGCAGUGUGGCAAAAAUGUAUACAAUGACCUCAGGGCAUGGGAGGUGGGAGUUACAAAAACCAGCAUCAGUUUAGCAUCUUGAAAGAAAUGUUUCUUAGUCAAUGUUCUAAACAUAAAUACUGAAGUCUCCAAAAAAGAUUAGGACAUUACCUGUUAAAACAGGCUUCCUUAGUGGUUGACGACUAUACCACUCCUUUCCAUUUUCUGGUUUUCUCUACAUGUUCAUUUGCAAGAUGGAACAGUAUCAAAAUUACACAAAUCCACGAGUUUGUGGUGCAGCUGUGGUCCCUUUUCAAAUUUUAUACACAAGAAACAUGACCAAUGUUUGUUCCAGUAUAACCCUGGACAAUACCCUUAAUUUUCACUCUGUAAUUUGGCUUACAUACUGAAGGAGAAUUGGUCAGUGCUAUGGGAUUUCGAGCAAAGUUUAAACUAUUUUAAAGACUUGUAACAAAGUUAUGUAUAUUACUCAAAAAAAGAGGAUCUAUACAAAUUCAACUAUAUUUAUUCAAACGAGUUUUUGAAUGUAAAACUGAGAAGAGGAUCAUAACCUGAUGACAGCUCCAGUACUGAAUUCGAUAUAUCUCAUUAAUAAAAUGGUUGAAGAGGAUCUUAUCUCAUUUAAUAUAACUAAGGCAAUAUAUUCAUGAAGUUUAACAUGCAUACACUUAUAAUACAGUCACCAUACCAAUGAAGUCCUUUUUUAAAGAAUUUUUUAAACUGAUUAUUUAAUGUUUCUUCUGCAAGUAAUAAACCACUGAAACUAAUGGAUGAAUCCUGUUAACUACCUAGCCUGUGUGUAAAAUAAUUUUUGAUUUGGAUUUAUUUAUGAAUAGCAAGAAAACUUCACUAACAAGCUGAUAUAUGAAUUUAUUUUCCAACCUAUUCUUUGUGCUUUCUCUCUAACAAAGUAAGUAUAGUUAAAUAGUUUUGGAUAAUGCAGAUAAUAGACCAUCUAAAGAUAUUAUUUAACAAACAUUUUGACAGAGACAUAUUGCUUUAUAACAAUUUUUGUGAAACAUUGAAACUUAUCAAACAGUAAACAGUGAAAAUAUAUAAUCUUAAAAGCUGCCUAAUUUUAUGCACACAAAUGGCAACACCAGUUGUUUACCUGUCAUUGAGUGAUAAUAAUACAGUGCAUGCUGUACCAAAAUUUACACUAAAGUUUUUGAAUUAACCUUAAAGUAAUGCUAUUAUAAUCAAAUACUAAGUAUUUCUAAUAAUCUUGUAUUAUCUAAAGACUAAACUGUAUUUUUUAACAUCCUAAGGCAUUGAAUCAAAUGAAUUAAGAUAUUAAAACUAAAAAGCUUAAGACUACAUGCACUUUCUAUACAUUGUAUACUACCUACAACAAAAUCUUAAGUUGAGUCAGAGAGGAACAGUUCAUAAUGAAGAAUCAAAUGAUAGCUUCAAAAACUUGAGCUCAGUUAAAGCCACAGCUUAACCACACAGGAGCAUAAUAAAAUGGAAAGAUAUAAUGGUUAUGUCCCACCUUUAUAAGAAUAUCUAUAUGGUUGUUGAAGGGAAACAUCUCAAAAGGAUCAUUAGAACCUUAUUUGAUGCCAUUUCAAUAAUCUCUACAUUCUAUUGCUUUCGAAACAGUGCUUUAUGUUAAUCAGCAGAUUCUGAAUACUGAGUGUCAAAGGGUAACUUGCCUGUUUGCCAAAUUUACAAAUUCAAGCAAGAUUUAUGGUUGUAGUUGACUGGGUUUGCCAAGUAUGACAUUUGAACUAUUAGUUAAUUCCCUAGAUCCCUAAACAUGAUCAUUACUACCUCUUGUGAGUGAGUUUAUAGUCAAUAUUAGCAGGGUACAAAUAAAGACCAAUAAAAUUAUCAGAUUAUCCAAAUUGCGAAUAAUGUAUAUUACAAUUUAUUAACUUUUCUAGGCAAUAUACAGUAAAAGAAUAAAAUAAAAAAAAUGUUUUUAAUCUCUUGUGAUGAGGAUUGUUGUCUAGUUACCUCAUCAAGGUAAAAAUUACUGGAAAAUUAGAUGAAGAUGUGAGCGUAAGGAAGACUUUUUAAUGUUUUAAUAUAAUUGUGAUGUGAGUAGUUUAUACUGAGAGAGCAUUGUGUAUGUUAGAUAAAGUAAUGAUAUAAGUUCAUUGCUUUUUAGACUCGCACCAUUGAUUAGUGAGAAAAAGU